rnacentral:lncRNA from 1 species
UGCUACUUAUAAAAGCCUGAGUUUUGAAUUUUUUUCUCUUUUCGAAAAUACCUAUAUUCUUUUUACUAAAUGUUUUCAUGUCCAAUAAUUCUCGACCAAUCAUUUCAAAUAAUUCACUAAGUAAUAAUUUAUUCUCAAAUAAAGAUAUUAAUUUUUUUUUAUUAGAUCUUAUCUAACGAUUAAAAAUAAAAGUAUCUGUCACUUUUUGUGACAAUAAUAUCUUCGCAUUUAUAUCAUAUCUUCUAUCUACGCGUUUCUCAAAUAUUUUCUUUCUCACGCGUAAUAUUCGUACCUGCUAAUUAGUUUUCAACGUAAUAUCUGUGAAUUUCUCAAAUGUCUCAUUAAUCUACCUAUCAUACACGUUCACUACUUACAUAACAUCCAGUUAACCUUUCUCACACGUAAUAUCCACGCGUUUCUCAAAUAUCUCAUCAAAAUUCUAAUCUUUUGUCAUUAUUUCUCAAAAAUUCUCUUAACCUAUUAUAAUUUUGAAUUAAACAUAUCCUUGCAUUUGAAUUUAAAUAUUAGAAUGGAUCAAAAUUAAAUUUUAAAUUUUAAAUUAAACAUAAAUUUUAUUGCGAAAAUAUCUCUAUCUUUUUAACUAAUUUUUCGUGUCCAGAAAUUUUGAACUAUUCAUCUCAAACAAUCUAUUAAAUUUUAAAUUCGUUAGAAACAAAUAAUAUCUCCACUACCCACGUAUUUGAAUUUAAAUCUUAAAGUGAAUUAAAAUUAAAUUUUAAAAAUUUUAAAUCUUUCAAAGUGGAUUAAAAUUAAAUUUUAAUUUUUAAAAUUAAACAUAAUAAAUAUUUUAAUAUUUUUACUUUAAAAUAUAUAUAUUUAAAUUUUGAAUUCACUAGAUAUCGAAAAAUAUAGCAAAAUAUUUAAUAUUUCUACCAUGUAAUAUCUGCCCGCCACACAUAAUAUAGAGAAUAUUUUAAUACCCUCGCAUAUAAAAUUUUUCUCCCGUACCCAAUUUUAUCUCAUCAUAAUACUUAUCCAUACAUAAAGUAUAUUUUUUUUAAUACUUUCUCAUCUCCAUCUGUACGUUUAUUAAAUAUAAAGCAUAUUCUUUUUAGUAAUAUUUUAUUCGUUCCUCAUCGUCGUUCUCGGUCGCCUUCGCUACAGUUGAAAAGGUUUUUUGGCAACACCUAAUUCAUUUUAAUGUGUCAUAAUAUAAUUUCCCAUCUAAUUCGUCUUUCGUGCACUUUGUUUUACUUUUUAAGAUUUUUAAAUGCUAAUAAAUAUGCCUUUUCAUGACCUUUUAUCUUAUAUUAAUUGCGGAAGUUAUCGUCCUUCUGGCACAUUGUUAUUGUCCUCACCGGCUCAACACGUCAUCGUCGUCACCUUCGCCGAUCAUUGUCGCCUUCGCUAACACAUCAUCAUCGUCACUUUUGCCAGCACUUCAUCAUCAUCCUACUCACCGGAACAAUCAUUUUUUUGACAAUUGAAAAGGUAUUUUGGUGCUACUCAAUAUUCUCAAUGUAUAACUAAUUCUUCAUUUUAAUUUCUAACUUAUAUUUACUAGCUAAGUGCACAUAAAAUACACGUUGCAUAAAAUAUUAAAAAUGUAAUAUAUACUGUUUAAAAUUUUUGAAACACUAAACGCAUAACUUUUAAUUUUUUAAAGAAAUAUAAUUUUUUCAAACUUCUAAUAGACAUAAAUUAAGACCCACGAAAACUUAAAAACCAAACAAUAUUAAAAAUUCAUUUACAAAUAAAAAAAUUCUUUAAAAUGAUAUUAGGAAAAAACUCAAAAUAAUAUAAUAAUAAUUCAAAAUCAUAAUAAAUAGAUGGGUAAAUUGCAUUGCUACCCCCUGAACUUUUGGCGAAGUUUCACUUUACCCCUCGAACUCCUAAAAUUGACAUCUAACACUCUAAACUCUAAUAUUUCAUUUAUGUUACCCCUUCCGUCAGUUUUCUGUUAAGCUCCGUUAACCGAAAACUGACGGAAUGGAUAAAACGAAUAAAAUAUUAAAGUUUAGGGUGUUAGAUGUCUAUUUUUGGAGUUUGGGGGGUUAAGUGAAACUCGCCAAAAGUUCAGAAGGUAGCAGUGCAAUUUACUCAGUCCUCGAGCACUCUUGACUAUAAAUUAUUUUAUUAUAAUACUUUACUUAUGAAUUGACUACUAACCCUCAAGUUAGUGAUCAUACUUGAUUUUGAAUUUAUAUAUAUUUUUUAUCGUAAAAUAAAUCGUACCAUAAUUUAUCCUACAUUUUAUUGUAAUAAAAUAAAAGCGAAAGAAAUAAAUUAGAGUUGCUUAAAGAUAAGAAAAGAACAAUGCUAACUAUCUGCGAUUCUCGAACACUCUACUAUUCUGGUGCACUUGCUAAUAUGGUUGGUUUACAAUAGGUGUCCUUACUCGGAUAUAGAAAUUUUAAUUCUCAGUUAAUGUCACGCCCUGGGGUCCCUUUUUGGUUUAAAAGUCAUUACGGAAGUGCUCAAUUUUUUUUUUUGAAAAACCUAAGCCCCCGAGUAUGCCAGAUCUGCCACAAAUACAGUAAGUUCACUGUUCACGCGGACAGAGUCACCCCUAAAUUUGUACGGCAUCGCACAAGUACAAGGUACAAGAUUCACAAUAUAGGAUACAACCACCACAUAUGAACAGCCACAUAUUCAUACACCAUUCACAUUCGCAUUUAAUACAUCACAAUUAUUCAUAAAUCCACAUCUAUCAGCUUAAAACGUUUCCUACCCGGAAACUCGUUUUGAAAUACUAAUAAUCAGGAAAACUAGAAAAUCCUUUUAAAACUGUUUCCCACAAAAAAAUCUUUUCUUUUUAAAACUAGCUACCACGAUGGAUAGAAAACCAUUUCAGUUUGCAAGAAUCACAAAUCCUUUAUUACAUUCAUGAAAUCCCAAUUAUUCAAUCAUCAUGAAAUACUGAACCAUAAUUGCAUUCU